GGAGAAGCUAGGCUUUGUGGGUUUCUCUAAGUGUUGAUGUUUGAGCCGUUGGUUCUUCUGGAGGAGUUCGUCAUGACUAGCUUCCCCAACAACUAAUGGCAACUAUGGUUCCACCAGUGAAACUGAAAUGGCUCGAACACCUGAACAGUUCCUGGAUUACAGAAGACAGUGAAUCUAUUGCUACAAGAGAGGGAGUUGCCAUCCCGUAUCCUAAACUAGUCAGCAAUAAGGACGUAGUAGCUUUGCCCCAACAAGUUUUAUGCCUCAAAGGACCACAGUUGCCAGACUUUGAACGUGAAUCUCUUUCAAGUGACGAACGGGACCAUUAUUUGGAUGCACUUCUUAGCAGCCAGCUAGCACUAGCAGAGAUGGUUUGUUCAGAUUCUCCAUUUGCUGGGGCGCUGCGAAAACGCCUGCUUGUACUCCAGCGUGUCUUCUAUGCACUUUCUAAUAAAUACCAUGACAAAGGAAAAGUGAAACAGCGCGGCAUUCUCCGGAGAGCAGCUCUGGUGCAGCAGCUGUCCAUUCUGUGAGUGAACGUCCUCGGUCAGGCACUGAUGCACUUACAGAAAUGGGUGUUUGAACUGGUCUAAGUUAUUAUUUGCACUUCUGAGACAAAGUUGGAUGAUGCCUGUGUCGGGACCUGGCCUUAGUCUUUGCAACGAUGUUAUUCAUCCUGCAAUUGAAGUUGUGAGCUCUUUGCCACCAUUAUCUUUAGCCAAUGAAAGCAAGAUUCCUCCUGUGGGUUUGGACUGCUUAUCACAAGUAACAACAUUUCUUAAAGGAGUAACUAUUCCCAAUUCUGGGGUAGACAUUUUAGGUCGUAGAUUAGCUUCUGAGUUGCUGCUUGGUUUAGCAGCUCAGCGAGGCUCUCUGCGGCAUCUUCUUGAAUGGAUAGAAAGGGCUUUGGGGGCUUCAGCAGUUGUUAAUAACAUGGAGAAAACCAAACUACUGUGAAGCCAGGAAGGAAUGAUCAGCUUUGACUGCUUUAUGACUAUCUUAAUGCAGAUGAGACGUUCUUUGGGGUCAUCUGCUGAUCGGAUUUAGUGGAGAGAACCAACCAGAACAUCUGAUGGCCUGUGCUCACUCUAUGAGGCAGCUUUAUGUCUCUUUGAAGAGGUUUGGAGAAUGGCUUCUGAUUACUCAAAAACAUGUGCUAGCCCAGAUAGCAUUCAGACUGGAGAUGCUCCCAUUGUCUCUGAAACCUGUGAGGUUUAUGUUUGGGGAAGUAACAGCAGUCAUCAGCUGAUAGAAGGCACACAGGAAAAAAUACUGCAACCCAAACUAGCUCCCAGUUUCUCUGAUGCCCAGACGAUUGAAGCUGGACAGUAUUGCACUUUCGUUAUUUCUAUGGAUGGUUCGGUCAGAGCUUGCGGUAAAGGCAGCUAUGGGAGCCUGGGCCUUGGAGAUCUCCAAUAUAAUUAGUCUACUUUAUAAAAGUUAACCUUUGAACCUCACAGGUUCAUUAAAAAGGUUUCAUCUUCUAAAGGCUCUGAUGGUCACACUUUAGCUUUUACGACAGAAGGAGAAGUCUUCAGCUGGGGAGAUGAUGACUAUGGGAAACUAGGACAUGGAAAUAGUUCAACCCAGAAAUACCCCAAGCUUAUUCAGGGGCCUUUUCAGGGAAAGGUAGUUGUUUGUGUGUCAGCUGGAUACUGGCACAGUGCUGCUGUUGCAGAGGACAGUGAAUUAUAUACAUGGGGUGAAGGAGACUUUGGAAGAUUAGGUCAUGGUGAUAGCAAUAGCUGUAACAUUCCAAUGUUAGUAAAAGACAUUAGCAAUGUUGGAGAGGUUUCUUGUGGCAGUUCACAUACUAUUGCUCUGUCUAAAGAUGGAAGAACUGUGUGGUCUUUUGGAGGAGGAG